AAUAUCUUAUUAGCAAAUAAAUGCAUUAGAAUUAGAAUCUAAAUAAAUACAUAA
rnacentral:tRNA from 1 species